rnacentral:rRNA from 1 species
GAUGAACGCUGGCGGCGUGCUUAACACAUGCAAGUCGAACGAAGCACUUUAUUUGAUUUCCUUCGGGACUGAUUAUUUUGUGACUGAGUGGCGGACGGGUGAGUAACGCGUGGGUAACCUGCCUUGUACAGGGGGAUAACAGUUGGAAACGGCUGCUAAUACCGCAUAAGCGCACGGCAUCGCAUGAUGCAGUGUGAAAAACUCCGGGGGUAUAAGAUGGACCCGCGUUGGAUUAGCUAGUUGGUGAGGUAACGGCCAACCAAGGCGACGAUCCAUAGCCGACCUGAGAGGGUGACCGGCCACAGUGGGACUGAGACACGGCCCAGACUCCUACGGGAGGCAGCAGUGGGGAAUAUUGCACAAUGGGCGAAAGCCUGAUGCAGCGACGCCGCGUGAGCGAAGAAGUAUUUGGGUAUGUAAAGCUCUAUCAGCAGGGAAGAUAAUGACGGUACCUGACGAAGAAGCACCGGCUAAAUACGUG